rnacentral:rRNA from 1 species
UACGGCGGAUGCGAGCGUUAUCCGGAUUUAUUGGGUUUAAAGGGUGCGUAGGCGGACGGUCAAGUCAGCGGUAAAAAUGCGGUGCUCAACGCCGUACAGCCGUUGAAACUGGCAGUCUUGAGUGGGCGAGAAGUAUGCGGAAUGCGUGGUGUAGCGGUGAAAUGCAUAGAUAUCACGCAGAACCCCGAUAGCGAAGGCAGCUUACCAGACUGUUACUGACGCUGAAGCACGAGAGCGUGGGUAGCGAACAGG